CAACGCCGGGCAGCUCACCGAUAAGACAGCUGGAUGAUAGCCGGGCUGAAGACUCUGCUUGACUAGCUGAGAGGAGGUGCAUGGCCGUCGUCAGUUCGUACUGUGAAGCAUCCUGUUAAGUCAGGCAACGAGCGAGACCCACGCCAACAGUUGCCAGCAUGUCCUCCGGGAUGAUGGGGACACUGUUGGGACCGCCUCUGCUAAAGAGGAGGAAGGAAUGGGCAACGGUAGGUCAGCAUGCCCCGAAUUAUCCGGGCUACACGCGGGCUACAAUGGUCAGGACAAUGGGUAUCGACACCGAGAGGUGGAGGCAAUCUCCUAAACCUGUCCUUAGUUCGGAUUGUGGGCUGCAACUCGCCCACAUGAAGCUGGAAUCCGUAGUAAUCGCGUUUCAAAAUAGCGCGGUGAAUAUGUCCCUGCUCCUU
rnacentral:rRNA from 1 species